AGUCGGCUAGACAAUCGCCGAAACUUCAGUGUUUCGGAGGAAAGUCCGGGCUCCCUUAGGCAGGACGCCAGGUAACGCCUGGAGGGUGCAAGCCCAUGGAAAGUGCCACAGAAAAUAUACCGCUGGUUUAGUCCAGUAAGGGUGAAAAGGUGCGGUAAGAGCGCACCGCGCGGGUGGUAACAUACCGCGGCACGGCAAACCCCGUCCGGAGCAAAACCAAAUAGGGGAGUGAAAGGAUCUAAUGCCUUAACCGUAUGCCUAAACGGACUCCCGGGUAGGUUGCUAGAGACAGUCGGUGACGGCUGUCCCAGAUGAAUGAUUGUCCACGACAGAACCCGGCUUACGGCCGGCU
rnacentral:RNase_P_RNA from 1 species